rnacentral:tRNA from 1 species
GUCUCUGUAGCUCAGUUGGUUAGAGCGCUGCUCCGGAGUCGCAGGGCCGUAGGUUCAAUUCCUACCAGAGGACC